rnacentral:rRNA from 1 species
GACGAACGCUGGCGGCGUGCUUAACACAUGCAAGUCGAACGGUGAAGCGCCGUCCUUUUUGGUGGGUGGGGAGGAGCGGCGGACUGGUGAGUAACACGUGAGUAACCUGCCCCCUUUUUCUGGAUAACCGCAUGAAAGAGUUGCUAAUACGGGAUAUUCUGGAUCUGUCGCAUCAUGGGUCUGGGAAAGAUAUUGUUUCGGUGGGAGAUGGGCUCGCGGCCUAUCAGCUUGUUGGUGGGGUGAUGGCCUACCAAGGCGGUGAGGAGUAGCCGGCCUGAGAGGGUGGACGGUAACGGUGGGGAGGCGACGCGGACAAGCCUACGACGGGCGGCAGUAGUGAAGAUUAUUGAAAGGUGGGAGGAAGGAUGAUGCAGCGACGCCGCGUGGGGGAUGGAGGCCUUCGCGUUGAGCACCUUUUUCGCGAGUGAAGCAGGGUUGCAUCGUGUGUGGGUGGGUUGACGGUACCUGGAUAAGAAGCGCCGGCUAACUACGUG